rnacentral:rRNA from 1 species
UACGAAGGGGGCGAGCGUUGUUCGGAUUUACUGGGCGUAAAGGGCGCGCAGGCGGCCAUUCAAGUCAGGCGUGAAAGCCCCGGGCUCAACCUGGGAAUGGCAAUGGAUACUGGCAGGCUAGAGUGCGGUAGAGGGUAGUGGAAUUCCCGGUGUAGCGGUGAAAUGCGUAGAGAUCGGGAGGAACACCAGUGGCGAAGGCGGCUACCUGGACCAGCACUGACACUGAGGCACGAAAGCGUGGGGAGCAAGCAGG